GAUUAGUGGCGAACGGGUGAGUAACACGUGAGUAACCUGCCCUUGACUUCGGGAUAAGCCUGGGAAACUGGGUCUAAUACUGGAUACGACCUCUCAUCGCAUGGUGUGGGGGUGGAAAGUUUUGCGGUUUGGAUGGACUCGCGGCCUAUCAGCUUGUUGGUGAGGUAAUGGCUCACCAAGGCGACGACGGGUAGCCGGCCUGAGAGGGUGACCGGCCACACUGGGACUGAGACACGGCCCAG
rnacentral:rRNA from 1 species